CACUAUCGUUAACUGAAUACAUAGGUUAACGAGGCGAACCGGGGGAACUGAAACAUCUAAGUACCCCGAGGAAAAGAAAUCAACCGAGAUUCCCCCAGUAGCGGCGAGCGAACGGGGAGCAGCCCAGAGUCUGAAUCAGCUUGUGUGUUAGUGGAACGGUCUGGAAAGUCCGACGGUACAGGGUGAUAGUCCCGUACACCAAAAUGCACAGGCUGUGAACUCGAAGAGUAGGGCGGGACACGUGGUAUCCUGUCUGAAUAUGGGGGGACCAUCCUCCAAGGCUAAAUACUCCUGACUGACCGAUAGUGAACCAGUACCGUGAGGGAAAGGCGAAAAGAACCCCGGCGAGGGGAGUGAAAAAGAACCUGAAACCGUGUACGUACAAGCAGUGGGAGCACCUUCGGGUGUGACUGCGUACCUUUUGUAUAAUGGGUCAGCGACUUAUAUUCUGUAGCAAGGUUAACCGUAUAGGGGAGCCGCAGGGAAACCGAGUCUUAACUGGGCGUUAAGUUGCAGGGUAUAGACCCGAAACCCGGUGAUCUAGCCAUGGGCAGGUUGAAGGUUGGGUAACACUAACUGGAGGACCGAACCGACUAAUGUUGAAAAAUUAGCGGAUGACUUGUGGCUGGGGGUGAAAGGCCAAUCAAACCGGGAGAUAGCUGGUUCUCCCCGAAAGCUAUUUAGGUAGCGCCUCGUGAACUCAUCUUCGGGGGUAGAGCACUGUUUCGGCUAGGGGGUCAUCCCGACUUACCAACCCGAUGCAAACUACGAAUACCGAAGAAUGUUAUCACGGGAGACACACGGCGGGUGCUAACGUCCGUCGUGAAGAGGGAAACAACCCAGACCGCCAGCUAAGGUCCCAAAGUCAUGGUUAAGUGGGAAACGAUGUGGGAAGGCACAGACAGCCAGGAUGUUGGCUUAGAAGCAGCCAUCAUUUAAAGAAAGCGUAAUAGCUCACUGGUCGAGUCGGCCUGCGCGGAAGAUGUAACGGGGCUAAACCAUGCACCGAAGCUGCGGCAGCGACACUAUGUGUUGUUGGGUAGGGGAGCGUUCUGUAAGCCUGCGAAGGUGACCUGUGAGGGUUGCUGGAGGUAUCAGAAGUGCGAAUGCUGACAUAAGUAACGAUAAAGCGGGUGAAAAGCCCGCUCGCCGGAAGACCAAGGGUUCCUGUCCAACGUUAAUCGGGGCAGGGUGAGUCGACCCCUAAGGCGAGGCCGAAAGGCGUAGUCGAUGGGAAACAGGUUAAUAUUCCUGUACUUGGUGUUACUGCGAAGGGGGGACGGAGAAGGCUAUGUUAGCCGGGCGACGGUUGUCCCGGUUUAAGCAUGUAGGCUGGUUAUCCAGGCAAAUCCGGAUAAUCAAGGCUGAGGUGUGAUGACGAGGCACUACGGUGCUGAAGUAACAAAUGCCCUGCUUCCAGGAAAAGCCUCUAAGCAUCAGGUAACAUCAAAUCGUACCCCAAACCGACACAGGUGGUCAGGUAGAGAAUACCAAGGCGCUUGAGAGAACUCGGGUGAAGGAACUAGGCAAAAUGGUGCCGUAACUUCGGGAGAAGGCACGCUGGUGUGUAGGUGAAGUCCCUGCGGAUGGAGCUGAGACCAGUCGAAGAUACCAGCUGGCUGCAACUGUUUAUUAAAAACACAGCACUGUGCAAACACGAAAGUGGACGUAUACGGUGUGACGCCUGCCCGGUGCCGGAAGGUUAAUUGAUGGGGUUAUCCGUAAGGAGAAGCUCUUGAUCGAAGCCCCGGUAAACGGCGGCCGUAACUAUAACGGUCCUAAGGUAGCGAAAUUCCUUGUCGGGUAAGUUCCGACCUGCACGAAUGGCGUAAUGAUGGCCAGGCUGUCUCCACCCGAGACUCAGUGAAAUUGAACUCGCUGUGAAGAUGCAGUGUACCCGCGGCAAGACGGAAAGACCCCGUGAACCUUUACUAUAGCUUGACACUGAACAUUGAGCCUUGAUGUGUAGGAUAGGUGGGAGGCUUUGAAGCGUGGACGCCAGUCUGCGUGGAGCCAACCUUGAAAUACCACCCUUUAAUGUUUGAUGUUCUAACGUUGGCCCCUUAUCGGGGUUGCGGACAGUGUCUGGUGGGUAGUUUGACUGGGGCGGUCUCCUCCCAAAGCGUAACGGAGGAGCACGAAGGUUAGCUAAUCCUGGUCGGACAUCAGGAGGUUAGUGCAAUGGCAUAAGCUAGCUUGACUGCGAGCGUGACGGCGCGAGCAGGUGCGAAAGCAGGUCAUAGUGAUCCGGUGGUUCUGAAUGGAAGGGCCAUCGCUCAACGGAUAAAAGGUACUCCGGGGAUAACAGGCUGAUACCGCCCAAGAGUUCAUAUCGACGGCGGUGUUUGGCACCUCGAUGUCGGCUCAUCACAUCCUGGGGCUGAAGUAGGUCCCAAGGGUAUGGCUGUUCGCCAUUUAAAGUGGUACGCGAGCUGGGUUUAGAACGUCGUGAGACAGUUCGGUCCCUAUCUGCCGUGGGCGCUGGAGAAUUGAGGGGGGCUGCUCCUAGUACGAGAGGACCGGAGUGGACGCAUCACUGGUGUUCGGGUUGUCAUGCCAAUGGCACUGCCCGGUAGCUAAAUGCGGAAGAGAUAAGUGCUGAAAGCAUCUAAGCACGAAACUUGCCCCGAGAUGAGUUCUCCCUGAGACUUUAAGUCUCCUGAAGGAACGUUAAAGCGUUGAUAGGCCGGGUGUGUAAGCGCAGCGAUGCGUUGAGCUAACCGGUACUAAUGAACCGUGAGGCUUAACCUU
rnacentral:rRNA from 2 species